rnacentral:rRNA from 1 species
GUGAGGAAUAUUGCGCAAUGGACGCAAGUCUGACGCAGCGACGCCGCGUGGGUGAAGAAGGCCUUCGGGUCGUAAAGCCCUUUUCCAGGCGACGAGCAAGGACGGUAACCUGGGAAUAAGUGUCGGCUAACUACGUGCCAGCAGCCGCGGUAAAACGUAGGACGCAAGCGUUAUCCGGAAUUACUGGGCGUAAAGCGCGCGCAGGCGGGGCGGUCAGUCCGCCGUGAAAGCUCCUGGCUAAACUGGGAGAGGUCGGUGGAAACAGCCGUUCUGGAGGGUGUCAGAGGCGAGUGGAAUUCCGCGUGUAGUGGUGAAAUGCGUAGAGAUGCGGAGGAACACCCGUGGCGAAGGCGGCUCGCUAGGGCACCCCUGACGCUGAGGCGCGAAAGCAUGGGGAGCGAACGGGAUUAGAAACCCGAGUAGUCC